UACUACAUGUACUGUAUAUCAUUUGGUUUGGAGCAAGUAAUCCAGCACACCUGCCGAGUGCUACAGGAAAAUCUCACAUUUGGAACAUGUGAACUGUACUUGUAGUGUGCUCCAUAUAAAUUCCCGAAAUUGAGGUGUUGUGGAAGAAUGAUCCCUGUGGGGCCUUUGAUUGGAUGUCUCCCUGGGUCUGACGAGAUUACAAACUGCCUGAUAAGGAACAGCAGUGCACGUGAAAUUUCAAAGCAGACCAUUUUGGCUUAGCACUGUGUGGCUGAACUCGUGACUUCCAUUUGCAAAUCGGUGAUGUUUUGUGCAUCCCGGGGCAGGGUCAUGGGAGUGCUGGACUCUAUCGCCGCUAUCUUUGGGUGAGAGGCGAGGUGCACUCUGAACCAGUCGCCAGCCAUUCGCAGGGCACAUG